GAUGAACGCUGGCGGCGUGCUUAACACAUGCAAGUCGAACGAUUGAAGCUGGAGCUUGCUCCGGCCGAUUUAGUGGCGGACGGGUGAGUAACGCGUGGGUAACCUGCCUCAUACAGGGGGAUAGCAGUUGGAAACGACUGGUAAAACCGCAUAAGCGCACGGUGUCGCAUGACACAGUGUGAAAACACUCCGGUGGUAUGAGAUGGACCCGCGUCUGAUUAGCUAGUUGGUGAGGUAACGGCCCACCAAGGCGACGAUCAGUAGCCGGCCUGAGAGGGUGAACGACCACAUUGGGACUGAGACACGGCCCAAACUCCUACGGGAGGCAGCAGUGGGGAAUAUUGCACAAUGGGGGAAACCCUGAUGCAGCGACGCCGCGUGAGUGAUGAAGUAUUUCGGUAUGUAAAGCUCUAUCAGCAGGGAAGAUAAUGACGGU
rnacentral:rRNA from 1 species